UACGAAAGGUGCAAGCGUUACUCGGAAUCACUGGGCGUAAAGCGCACGUAGGCGGACUCGCAGGUCAAUUGUGAAAUACCUGGGCUCAACCCGGGAACUGCAGUUGAAACCGCUUGUCUUGAAUACCUGAGAGGGUGGGGGAAUACCUGGUGGAGAAGUGAAAUUCGUAGAGAUCAGGUGGAACACCGGAGGCGAAGGCGCCUGCCUGGCAGUGUAUUGACGCUGAGGUGCGAAAGCGUGGGGAGCAAACAGG
rnacentral:rRNA from 1 species